UUUUUUCAAACGAAAAAGUGACCAACCACCGGGGGUUGAGUGUAUUGAAACAUUUAAACAUUUUAACAUUUUAACAGUUUAACAUAUUAAUCUCGAUUGUAACAUUUAAAUUUAACAUUAAACUUUAAAAAAUAAUAUUUACAAUGAACGCACUAUUACACCGAACCCGUGCGACACUCCUAAAACGAACGCACCAUGACACACUGAACAUGUGCAGCCGACGCUCAAGAAACGAACGCACCAUGGUUGAGCGAGCGCCGAGCUGUCAUCUUUUUUCACUCGCGCGUGUUCGCGUCGCCGUUUGUUUUUUUUUUUGGUUCGGUUAUUUCCGCGUAAUCGGCAUCCGGCACUUGUUUGAACGCGUUCCUGGCGAGGUUCCCGGAGCUACCUCCCGGUGUUUGUUGGACCUGUUGGACAGAUCCGCCGGGUUGAUCUGUUGUGAAGCAACAAAAAUUGCAGGAGGAGCCGCCAUGACGUGCAGGAAGGACGCGCUGGAAAGGUCCUGAACGCGUUCCCGGUGCUGGUGCUGGUGUUGACUGGACAGAUCCACCAGGCGACGGAUCCGGUACGGCUCCCGAAUGGCGACGAUUAGUUUAGCAACCACGAGGGCUAAUUUCUCGUGGAUUGUGCUGCUUGAUUGCGCGAAUGCCGACAGCUCCGUUCAUUGAAGUAGACGACGUGUUCAGCUUCAUCAAGAAUAUAUUUUCGAGCAGUGUGGACGCAGGAAACUAAAGGAAACGUGAACCAGUUCCAUCGAUCCGUGGAUGGCUUGAUUGAACCGGAAUUUCAAAAGAAAACGGCGUGGAGAGAAAGCGUUAAAUGAAAUUUAAAUAAAAUGCAAUAAAAAAACAAUUUAGAAAUACUGCUAAAUUUACUGUAUAAAUGAUUGAUAUCACUGUCCAAAUAUAGUUUUUAAAGUAAGAUUAAGUACAGAAGAAACAUUAAAAAAUAUAAUUUCACUGUGUAUUACAUUGUAGUGCUUAUUUAUUUAAUUGUCCGAAUAUAGUUUUUACAGUACCAUUUAGUAGGGAAAAAAACCAUGAAGCACUGUAAAUUUACUGUGCAAUGCAUUGUAAUGCUUGCUGUUUUUAUUAUUAAUGCAUGAUGUUUUCUAUAGUCAGGACGAAUUUUUGGAUGAAAAAUGCAACAUUAGAUUAACAGUAAAAUGCGUCGUAUUUGGAAAAAAAAUGUAUGGAAAAAUUUCGAAAUUUUUAUGGUACCGGUGCAUAACAACCCCCCUUUUUUAUGGUAAAGUCCCAAAAUACGACGCAAAUUAUCUUAAAAAACGAUGCUGUCUACUGUUAAAACACUGUCAAAAUGACAAUAUAUUUUAUCGUUUUGUAACCUUAAAAUUUACUGUAAGUUCAUCAGAAAUCUUUA